rnacentral:rRNA from 1 species
GACGAACGCUGGCGGCGUGCUUAACACAUGCAAGUCGAGCGGUAAGGCCCUUUCGGGGGUACACGAGCGGCGAACGGGUGAGUAACACGUGGGUGACCUGCCCUCAGCUCUGGGAUAAGCCUGGGAAACCGGGUCUAAUACUGGAUAUGACUCCAUGACGCAUGUUGUGGGGUGGAAAGCCUUGUGCGGCUGAGGAUGGGCCCGCGGCCUAUCAGCUUGUUGGUGGGGUGANGGGCCUACCAAGGCGACGACGGGUAGCCGGCCUGAGAGGGCGACCGGCCACACUGGGACUGAGACACGGCCCAGACUCCUACGGGAGGCAGCAGUGGGGAAUCUUGCGCAAUGGGCGAAAGCCUGACGCAGCGACGCCGCGUGAGGGAUGACGGCCUGGU